ensembl:lncRNA
CAGGACAACAGUUUCAAUGGAUGAGAUUUCAUAGAAUCAGGUGUCUCCUGGCUUUAACACUGGGUGGCUUUAAAAUCCAACCUCUUAAAGACAUCUGAAGGAGAGAGCCAGACAAGGAGAGAGAGUCUGAACUUCUCAGAUACAGUAAUUGUAAGAUGCCUGGAGCACCAACCUGCCCCCCUCCCACCAUUGUCAGUCGACAGCCCAUGGAUCACUCCCCGUCCCCAAAACACACAUACAUGCAUUUUGAUUGGUCCAUCCAUCAGGUCUCCAACAAGCACUGAAUCCAGGGACUGUGGGGAAAAUGAAAAAUCAUUGACUGGGAAAUUGGCAAGUAACAGGACCUCACUGCAGUUUAACAGGAUCUCGACACAAUUUGAUAGCGAGUCAGAGUCUAUGGGAUGGAAAAUGGAAAUACGCGGGGAGAGAGGGAGUUUAAUUGAGUCUGUCCUCUGUGGCCCUGUUUUGAAUAUCAGAUUAAGUAUGAAAAUGAGCAGCUGUCUUUUGAAUAUUUAGAAGAUAAAAACAAAGAGAGUGAUGAUGACUGACCAAGAGCUGAUUUUAUAAAAAGAUGCAAAUCAAACAAUGCUUUUUUAUCUAUAUGCAUGUAAAGCAUCUGAAGGAAAUGUUCCUUCCCAUUAUUAUUUAACAGCUGUUAUGAGAGUGCUACAAUAUUGCAAAGAAACAAAAUAACUAGAUUUGUAUAUUUUUAAAUAAAAACGUGAGUUACUUGCUUAUGUAAAUCUUGUCCAUACAAUAGUGUUUUGGGCAAUUGCUGUG